GGUCCUACAUCUAAGAACAUAAACCCCUUUAGGUUACCUCAAAUAAUCGAUGAGUGUGUUAUAUUUUUAGAACCCAAGGACAGAAAAUGUAGAGCAUGUCAGUGGAAUCAGGAAUCCAGAAGCCCAGGCUGUUCUCUCUCUGUCUUGCAAGGGCUUUUGGAGCCUCGCAGGGACCUUGUGGUUCCCUCUGCUUUUCCCUUACCUCUCUUGGUCACUUUCUUCUACUCACCCGUGCUCCAACAUGACUGGCAGGCCAAUCACAUGACAUCACACUCAGACUCCAUUCUCUGUGAGAAUUCUUCAGUUAGAUUUUUAAGAGGCAGAUUGGUGGAUUCAGCAGUGUCCAAAUUAUUCUCCAUGAGUCAGAUGUCUACCCUGGCUCCAAUCAACUCUGAUGAGGGAGGUGAUGUGACAUGUGGAG
rnacentral:lncRNA from 12 species